rnacentral:snRNA from 1 species
AGAUGUGAGGGCGAUCUGGCUGCGACAUCUGUCACCCCAUUGAUCGCCAGGGUUGAUUCGGCUGACCUGGCUGGCUAGGCGGGUGUCCCCUUCCUCCCUCACCACUCCAUGUGCGUCCCUCCCGAAGCUGCGCGCUCAAAGAGAAUGACCUUCCCCGCUAGAGGAGGACCAGUCUUUGGUCAAGGGUAUAUGAGAGCUGCACUCCCUGCUAGAACCUCCAAACUAGCUCUCAAAUAAAUAAAUAAAUCUUUUAAAAAAAUGAAUGUGGGUCUAUACCAACCACCAUUUACAAGAAUUAACUCAAAAUGAAU